rnacentral:rRNA from 1 species
GACGAACGCUGGCGGCGUGCUUAACACAUGCAAGUCGAACGGAAAGGCCCUGCUUGCCGGGUACUCGAGUGGCGAACGGGUGAGUAACACGUGGGUGAUCUGCCCUUCACUUCGGGAUAAGCCUGGGAAACUGGGUCUAAUACCGGAUAGGAGCCAUUUUUAGUGUGAUGGUUGGAAAGUUUUUUCGGUGUAGUAUGAGCUCGCGGCCUAUCAGCUUGUUGGUGGGGUAAUGGCCUACCAAGGCGGCGACGGGUAGCCGGCCUGAGAGGGUGGACGGCCACAUUGGGACUGCGAUACGGCCCAGACUCCUACGGGAGGCAGAAGUGGGGAAUAUUGCACAAUGGGCGCAAGCCUGAUGCAGCGACGCCGCGUGGGGGAUGACGGCCUUCGGGUUGUAAACUCCUUUCGCUAGGGACGAAGCUUUUUGUGACGGUACCUAGAUAAGAAGCACCGGCUAACUACGUG